rnacentral:tRNA from 1 species
AAAUUGGCUCAGACGGUAAAGCGUCUGUCUACUAUGCAGGAGACCCGGGUUCAAACCCUGGUUU